GUUUCUUGUGUGCAAAAUUACCGUAUCCCUAGUGAGUGCUAUUAUUUCUGGUGUGCGGUGAUGCUAUUGGUCAAUCAUUGCAUAACACAGAGGCUUUAACAAGAGUGUAUAUAUACGUUAAGUAUUUUACUAUGAAUACUGUGGAUGCUUUGGCUGUGGACGCAUAGAGCUACCAAUGCGACUUAUGCGGGAGUAGGCGUGUG